rnacentral:rRNA from 1 species
AUUGAACGCUGGCGGCAGGCUUAACACAUGCAAGUCGAGCGAGCGGCGGACGGGUGAGUCAUGUCUGGGACCCUGCCCGAUGGAGGGGGAUACCUACUGGAACCGGUAGCUAAUCCCGCAUACCAUCAGCUGUGCCCAGAUGGGAUUAGCUAGUAGGUGGGGUAAUGGCUCACCUAGGCGACGAUCCCUAGCUGGUCUGAGAGGAUGACCAGCCAAACUGGAACUGGGACACGGUCCAGACUCCUACGGGAGGCAGCAGUGGGGAAUAUUGCACAAUGGGCGCAAGCCUGAUGCAGCCAUGCCGCGUGUGUGAAGAAGGCCUUCGGGUUGUAAAGCACUUUCAGCGAGGAGGUGUUACUCGCAGAAGAAGCACCGGCUAACUCCGUGCCAGCAGCCGCGGUAAUAC